CCCUAUGGGUCGUAAACUGCUUUUAUAUACCAAGAAAAACACCCACGUGUGGGUGCUUGACGGUAGUGUAUGAAUAAGCAUCGGCUAACUCCGUGC
rnacentral:rRNA from 1 species